UGUACUAUAUUGGUACGCGAAGCUUCCAACCCGCCUUUGGCGGUUAUGUUUGGUCAAUUUUUUUUGACCGGGGUUUACGGACCCC
rnacentral:misc_RNA from 1 species